rnacentral:rRNA from 1 species
AACCAUUGGAAACGAUGGNUAAUACCGCAUAAUGCCUACGGGCCAAAGAGGGGGACCUUCGGACCUCUCGCGUCAAGAUAUGCCUAGGUGGGAUUAGCUAGUUGGUGAGGNAAUGGCUCACCAAGGCGACGAUCCCUAGCUGGUCUGAGAGGAUGAUCAGCCNNNCUGGAACUGAGACACGGUCCAGACUCCUACGGNAGGCAGCAGUGGGGAAUAUUGCACAAUGGGCGAAAGCCUGAUGCAGCCAUGCCGCGUGUAUGAAGAAGGCCUUCGGGUUGNNAAGUACUUUCAGUUGUGAGGAAGG